GAAAACAGCGGAUCUUCUGGCACACAGCUCUAUCUCAUCAAGUCUUCGAGCAACUGCAGACUGCGAAACUCGGGUUCUAGUAGCAGCAUACAGCUCACAUGAGAGUUGUAAAACUGUAGAAGUCCUGUGUCGCUGAGCUAAAAGUGACAAGUAACGAUCCACCUUCGUUGUUUUUGAUGUUAGUUAAUCUUGCGUAACUCUUCUCUAUGUGGAUCCAGUGUCUUGAAACUGUUUUCACAAACUGGAGACGACACUAGGUUCUGUAAUAACUAACGUUACACUGAGCUCUGUAGCAAGCGGCGAAUGUCGUGAAGAAUUACGAGUUCCCAGAUCACUUAAAACCCCUCUCUUAAUUUUGCCCACGAGGUAUACGUUACUAAUAAAGGCUGCCCAGAUAGACAUGAAUAAGUCGGAAUCAUAAAUCUGCAACCCUCCUGCAACAUUCUACCUCUUAACAUCGAGGUUUAAUGGUGAAGAAACUUUUCAAGUGAAGGAAGUGUACUGAAGAAGCUAAUAACUGUCAAAAGCGAACUAGUUCAUGGCAUUUGUCAUUUCUCUGGCAAUGGGAUCUUAAAAAAAUCUUAGGAACAAAUAAGAAAACUUUGAAAAGAUGAAAAAUAUCUAAGAAAUGAAAGCAGUACCUGGAGCAGUGAAGUUAAAACAGAAAAUGGCACGUUAUGUAUGACUUGAGAAAAAGUUUUUGUUAUUUCAUUUGCCAGAAUGAAACAAGAAGAGGUAAAUGUAAGUAUAUUUAUCACCGAAAGGGUUACACGCAGCCUUCUAAAUACAAAGGACUAACUGUACCACGCAAAAAUUUACAUUUCUUUACCAUAAUAUAAUCCACAAAGCUGAUAUUUUAAAGCACUUAAAAUAAUAUUAUUGUAAUUUCGCCGAUUUAAAUAAUCUACUUUCAGUAUUUAUACAAAUACGCAACAUUUUGUUUCAGUAAUAUUUUGUCAAUAAUUAUUAUUCGCAGUUAUGGAUAACACUGUAACCUGUAUUAUUUAUCCUUUAUGAAAUUAUGCAAACGUUAAAUUUCAAAAUUUGUGUAUGGUAUGAAUAUUUCGCAUGUAUAUACUACUCGUCAAAAAAAAAAAAAAAAAAAAAAAAAAAAAAAAAAAA